GAUGAACGCUGGCGGCGUGCCUAAUACAUGCAAGUCGAGCGAACAGAUAAGGAGCUUGCUCCUCUGACGUUAGCGGCGGUCGGGUGAGUAACACGUGGAUAACCUACCUAUAAGACUGGGAUAACUUCGGGAAACCGGAGCUAAUACCGGAUAAUAUACUGAACCGCAUGGUUCAAUAGUGAAAGACGGUUUUGCUGUCACUUAUAGAUGGAUCCGCGCCGCAUUAGCUAGUUGGUAAGGUAACGGCUUACCAAGGCAACGAUGCGUAGCCGACCUGUGAGGGGGGUCGGCCACACUGGAACUGGGACGCGGUCCAGACUCCUACGGGAGGCAGCAGUAGGGAAUCUUCCGCAGUGGGCGAAAGCAUGACGGAGCGACGCCACGUGAGUGAUGAAGAUCUUCGGAUCGUAAAACUCUGUUAUUAGGGAAGAACAAAUGUGUAAGGAACUAUACACGUCUUGACGGUACCUAAUCAGAAAGCCACGGCUAACUACGUG
rnacentral:rRNA from 1 species